UUGUGUGUAUACGCAUAUAAUAGUAUAAUCUAUAUAAGUAGAUUAAUGCAAAUGUAUGUUGCAUAGAAAAAGAUUACAUCUUUCAAUAUUUUUAGAAUGUAAAAAGAAAAACCAUUGUGUUUUUUUGACAAAUCGGAUGAAAGUUGCAAUAAUAUAUCUGCCUCAUUGAUUAGGUGUAGCAAUUUUAAGGAAUUGUGUGUGUGUGGGGGGGGGGUUACUUUAUAAUGCAUGCAUGAGCUCUUGAUGUGUCCUGGUUCUCAAGGCUGAUAUUUAGUACUUAAGUAAAGAAAAAGAAAUACUAGCGUUUGUCAUUCGUAUAAGUCAUUAUAUUCUUUAAUUAUUAUUACUUGAAGUGCAGCUUGAGUGUUUCUAAAGAGGAGGGGGGUGGACACUGAGACUAGGUUUCAGGUCACUGCACAGCACACCAGUGGAGACUUGGGGUUUGAUACAGCAAAGUUGCCUCAAAAUAGGUCUCCUGGAACCAGGUUUCAAGCCACUGUUCCUGAAAAAGGGGCUUUGUCUUCUCUCAGCUUAACAUGCAGCUAAAGACACACAUGUGAGCCAUAUUUUCAGGCGCCUCGUGGCGUGCGGAGCUCAGACUAGAAUACACACCUCUAGUUCAGGUAUUAGACUCUCUAGAUUCCAUCAAGUGACAAUGUCAUGAUGCUGAAUGUAAUGUUUGUUGUUUGAAUUAUUUAGUGCAGUAGAGCUGCAGAACCGAAGUGGCACAGGACUUUAUAAAAACCUUACUGCGUUGGGGGAAAAAACAAAUAAUGGUCUUGGAAAAGAAUACAAAAAACUGUUAUUGGAGUAGAUAUUUACUUUUCUGUAAUUUUAUUACGAAGUGGACUCUGUGUAUGCUGACUUUAUUUAAUGGAAAAAAAAAAAAUAUAUAUAUAUUUUUAGACUUGUACUGAAUGCAGAUGAGACCCAUUCUGACAGCCUGAACGUGCAAGCCUAAGAGGGUUUGUGGCCCAAAAGUGACCUAUUAUGCAUCAGGGUGUCAUUUUGGGUUACUGUUGGAUUUUUAUUUUAAGACUCUUUGUUUUUAAAGUGUCUUCGUUUCUUUCUCAUAUGCUUUUCCAUUUGAUAAAAGCCUAUGUGUAAAUAGUGGAUCCCAAGUUACUGUAUAGUUACUGGUAGGAACGCGGUGUGUAUAUGACGUGUGUGCAUUUUCUUCAGCCUGUUUUUUAGAAUACAUAUUGCCUGAUUUUAAUCAACAGACGAUGAUUUAAGAUGACGUUUUCUAUUUGUACAUUGGAUUGGUUUUGUUUUUUUGGAUUUUUUUACAUUAAACAUGUACCCCUUCAUACAAAACAUUCAGCUUCGCGUGGCUUUCAAAAAAUGUCAAACAAACACACCAAAAAAAACACCAAUACAAAAUAAUUCUGGCAGGGGGACAUAACUCAGACUUGUAGAUUUAUUUAUGAUUUAAAUAACGAUUUAGUUUUAUGUUCUUGUUAGAAACCUAAAUCCUUUGUAAAUGAUCAUGUCAAUUUUAACCUUUAACAUUGUAUUAUGUACACUUAAGAUCUGCUGCGAGUUAUCAGUUAACAAGUAGACUGCUGUCUUCUUCUCAGAUGCAGUUGCUCGGAUGGAUAAGGAUGCCUGUGGUUGUGUCGCUCAUCUCUUAAUCAAUAGCGGCUAAGCACUGGGGAGGCUGCUACUCCUGUCCCAGCAGCUACUUCUUUAAAAUCAGAAUGCUUUUGGAUCAGGAUUCAGUAUUAAAUAAGCAUUGCUUUACAAUUAGGGUAUUUUAUAAUUUGAAUUAGAAGCAUAAGAGUAGCAGAUAACAUGCAGUUUUUUUUAAAAAUUCAAAAUCUUACUGCAGAUUGUUAACCAUGUAAAGAGAUUCCUGUGUGUGUGUGUGUGUGUGUGUGUGUGUGUGUCCUGCCCGUUCCUGUGGGGGUGGGGGCUGGAACACGCGUCCUCCGAAACGUGCGCCUGCCAGUCCGUCAUUUCUCACUCGGGAGCCUCCUACUGCACUCUGUUCUAUUGAUCUUGACUGUAACUAAAUGCUUGGCUUCAAGCUUGUAUAUCUCCAUUAGUGAGCACAUUUGGAGAGGAGGGAUGUUGCAUUUGUUUGCUGUGCCUUGCAAUGUGCUUUGCAUUCAAGAUUAAACCUGGCCUCACAACCCCAACAUGCCAGUGAUCUGCUCUUAUUAGGAGGACAAGCAUAGCAAGGUGCUGACACUAUACCACAGGGGUGUCCACAGUUCAGAGCAGAGCUGCAGAGCAAGGUGCUGACACUAUAACACAGGGGUGUCCACAGCUCAGAGCAGAGAGCUACAGAGCAAGGUGCUGACACUAUAACACAGGGGUGUCCACAGGGGUGUCCACAGCUCAGAGCAGAGAGCUGCAGAGCAAGGUGCUGACACUAUAACACAGGGGUGCCCACAGGGGUGUCCACAGCUCAGAGCAGAGAGCUGCAGAGCAAGGUGCUGACACUAUAACACAGGGGUGUCCACAGGGGUGUCCACAGCUCAGAGCAGAGAGCUGCAGAGCAAGGUGCUGACACUAUAACACAGGGGUGCCCACAGCUCAGAGCAGAGAGCUGCAGAGCAAGGCUACUGUGGGACCGUGGGACCCAAUGUGACCAAAUUGCAUGGAUUGCAAAUUUUAAAUUACAAGCUUAAUAUUUAAACAAUUUCUUAGUAUUUACUCCCUCUGUCAAUGACUUGUAAAAACAUAAACCCACGACAUUAGCAUGUAUUCCUGUUGCCAGUGACAAUACCACUCAAUUCAAUACAUUAACUGUAUCAAACUAUUUACUAUAUUACUAUUGUUCAUAAAAGUCCAUUUAAAACAUGUAAAUAAUAAUAAUAAUAAUUCUUGGCAUUUAUUGGUAAUGCCAGUGACAGUAACAGUAAAUUCAAUACAUUGUAAAAUUAAGUCAUUAGCAUUUAUUCAUGUUGUUAGUGGCUAGAACAAGCUAUUCAAUAAAUGUCAUCCUUACCUGUACUUUCA